rnacentral:rRNA from 1 species
UACUGACGCUAAAGCUCGAAAGUGCGGGUAUCGAACAGGAUUAGAUACCCUGGUAGUCCGCACGGUAAACGAUGGAUGCCCGCUGUUCGCGAUAUAUUGUGAGCGGCCAAGAGAAAUCGUUAAGCAUCCCACCUGGGGAGUACGCCGGCAACGGUGAAACUCAAAGGAAUUGACGGGGGCCCGCACAAGCGGAGGAACAUGUGGUUUAAUUCGAUGAUACGCGAGGAACCUUACCCGGGCUUGAACUGCCGGCGAACGAUACAGAGAUGUUGAGGCCCUUCGGGGCGCCGGUGGAGGUGCUGCAUGGUUGUCGUCAGCUCGUGCCGUGAGGUGUCGGCUUAAGUGCCAUAACGAGCGCAACCCUUUUCGUCAGUUGCCAUCAGGUGAUGCUGGGCACUCUGGCGACACUGCCACCGUAAGGUGUGAGGAAGGUGGGGAUGACGUCAAAUCAGCACGGCCCUUACGUCCGGGGCUACACACGUGUUACAAUGGGGCAUACAGAAGGCCGGUGCAUGGCAAUGUGCAUCCAAUCUUAAAAGUGCUCCUCAGUUCGGAUUGGGGUCUGCAACCCGACCCCAUGAAGCUGGAUUCGCUAGUAAU